rnacentral:rRNA from 1 species
UACGGAGGGGGCUAGCGUUGUUCGGAAUUACUGGGCGUAAAGCGCACGUAGGCGGGACGGAAAGUCAGGGGUGAAAACCCGGGGCUCAACCCCGGAACUGCCUUUGAAACUUCCGUUCUUGAGGUCAAGAGAGGUGGGUGGAAUUCCGAGUGUAGAGGUGAAAUUCGUAGAUAUUCGGAGGAACACCGGUGGCGAAGGCGGCCCACUGGCACGAUACUGACGCUGAGUUGCGAAAGCGCGGGGAGCAAACAGG